rnacentral:rRNA from 1 species
UACGUAGGGUGCAAGCGUUGUCCGGAAUCAUUGGGCGUAAAGCGCGUGUAGGCGGUCCGGUAAGUCCGCUGUGAAAGUCGGGGGCUCAACCCUCGGAUGCCGGUGGAUACUGUCGGGCUUGAGUACGGAAGAGGCGAGUGGAAUUCCUGGUGUAGCGGUGAAAUGCGCAGAUAUCUGGAGGAACACCGGUGGCGAAGGCGGCAUCCUGGACCGGCAUUGACGCUGAGGCGCGAAAGCCAGGGGAGCAAACAGG